CUGCAGCCCGAGUGGUUAUCGAUUUUAUUGAGCCUAAAGCGUCCGUAGCCGGACUAGUAAACCCUUUGGUUAAUUGGGCAGCUUAACUGUCCAAAUUCCGAGGGGACUGCUAGUCUUGGGACCGGGAGAGGUCAGAGGUACUCAAGGGGUAGGGGCUAAAUCCUGUAAUCCUUUGGGGACCACCAGUGGCGAAGGCGUCUGACUAGAACGGAUCCGACGGUAAGGGACGAAACCCUGGGGCGCGAACCGGAUUAGAUACCCUAGUAGUCC
rnacentral:rRNA from 1 species